UUUUUUAUUCUUUUAUUAUUAUUUGUGUUUUUAUUAUUUUAUUUUAUUAUUUGUAUGUAUUAUUUUAUUAUUUUAUUAUAUUAUUUUUAUUUAUGUUUUUUAAUUGUAUUAUUUUUUAAUUUGUUUUUUGUAUUUAUUUUAGUAUUUUCGUUUCUCUUUGUAUUGGGUUGCUCUGAGUUGUGUGGUCUGCCUGGUCAUGUUCCAAAUGUAUUGUCUCCUGAUGUUUUGCCUGCGUGUAUGACAGGCAUCCUCAGAGGUUGUGAAAUGUGUUGUAACGAAAGGAAGUGGGGUUGAUAUAUCUGUGGAAUGACCAGGGUGGAAGAAAGAACUGUUGUCUGCUUUAGGCAAGUGUGAAUGUUGGAAUUGGCACUGAAUAGCCUUGUAGCUUCAAAGCCUGGAUGGUUCCUGCCUGCCUGGAAUGAACAAAAUGUGGCUCCCAGUAUUUAAAAAAUCUGUGAAAUCAGGACAGUUAACUAAAGAACAGCACUGAGCAAUCAGGGAAUUCCAGACAUAAUGUAUUGAGGGCCAGCUAACAUCUCCCAACAAAGGAUUCCUCUCCGAAGCAGGAAGUAGGCAGGCCUUGAAGGUGGAAGGGCAUUCAACGGCAAUCAAGGUGGGGAAGUGGAACAUUCACAGUCGCCUGAGACAGGUAAGAGUUGUCCCAUCCUGGAUAUCAUUGGUGAGAUAAAAAUAAACAUCCCACUUGUCUGUUUUCAAACAGAUCUCAUAAUCUCUGAGGAUGCCUGGCAUAGACAUGGAUGGCAGUUUGGCAGCAGAUAGGGUCGUGAGGGAAUGAGAGGUUUAAUUGCCUUUCCUGAAUCCCUUCUUAUUAUCCAACAUAUCCAAUGUUCUGCCAGGGUGUUUAUGUUGGAUAAGUGAGACUCUACUGUAUCUAUCUAUAUAUAUAAUAAAAGUGAAUGUUUGUAUCGGAGUAUGUAUCAGCGUUUUGAUUGGCCUGGCGGAAUAUGUGCUGGCCUUUUGAUUGGCCUGGCAGAAUAUGGAUCAGCUUUCUAAUUGGCCGGCCGGAAUAUGGGCCAGCUCUGAUUGGCCGCCACUUUCACAGGCCACUGGGAUCGCUGAGGGAAAAACUACUACCAACUGCCUUCGUUCGGCCUACUUCUCUCCUCAGAACGAUGCUAGCUUUGGGACAGUUAACAGCCUCGGCCUACACUUUGGUAAUCCAAAACACCACUGCCACCACCAGAAAGGCCGGACCUGGACCAAACUUGUCACACAUCACCCCAUGAACCCACUGACAACGGAUGGCCCCUCUGCUGACAUGUUUAAGGCCUUCCAGGCUGGCCCCUCGCUGCUAGGCCGAAAAGGAGGACGCCAUCUUGCCUCAGCUUUCAACUUCUUUGUAAGGCCCUACUUUCCUCAAAAGGCAGCAGAGAACAUUGUUAUUAUCUUUUUAACGAUAUGCUUAUGAACACUUCUAGCCCCCAAAGCCCCAAUCCAAGCCUCCUUUGAUCAUUUUGCUAACACCUUUCAGGCCUUGCAGCCUGGCUCCAUUGUGCUAGGCCGCAAAAGAGGCAGCCAUCUUCCCUGUUCCACAUGGUUCCAAACAGAGCAGCUUUUGCCUGUGUCUUUUGGAUACAGCACUCUCCUUCAACAAGGAUCGUUUACUCGUUUACUGAGGCAAAAAACUACCACAGAGCAGGCUUUGGCCUACUCACUCUAACAGGCUUGACACAUACAGUCUCCAUGGCCUACUAUACAUCCGGGCCCUGUUUGGAGUGGGAUGGAGCACGGAUGAUGGACUUGCAUAUGGGAGCUGUAGUUCACCUGCCCCCACUGAACCCAGCUGUCUUAUUUAUACUACUAUUGCUUGACAUUACUUUUAUGUUUUAUUUAUAUGGUGGAUGUUAGCACGUGGCUUAAUGACCUUGCAAGCCACUUUGGGUCCAUUGCAGAAAGGCGGGGGAGAAAUAUCAGAAUUAAAUAAAUACAUAAAUAAA